rnacentral:lncRNA from 1 species
GUUAUUGGUGGCGAAUUUCCGUCAUCGAUAUAUAGAGACAACCGCCUAAACGGCUUUAUGAUGGCGGAAAUCCGCCAUCAUAUAUUUCAAAGUUGAAUAGCGGAAAUCCACCAUCAAUAUAAAUAACCGCAAUCGAUAAAUUGGCGUCAAAUUUUUUUCGCGCCAUAUAAUACAUUGCGGAUUUUCGCCACCAUAUAAUAUUCAGUUCUUGAGAAAAAAUUUAGAUUCAAUGGCAGAUUUCCGCCAUCUAUUUUUUUUUGGUGGAAAAUGGGGUUGAAUAAAAGAUGGCAGAUUAUCAAUGGCGAAUAUGGGGUUAUCAUGACGCUCUAAUGAUGGUGGAAAUCCGCUACUGAUCACUUAAAAUGGUGGAUUUCCAGCAUCAUAAGGCCUCCAUCCUAGGUCUUAUUUCUUGUGGUAGUACAUUCCUAAUCCUCAUCCUUAUACCAGUCAAUGUCAGGUACAGUUAGGUAAUGGAUCUCAUCUUUUGAUCAAAUCUAUCGGUAAUGGUUCCAUCUCAAAUGACAUUACUUUUUUUAAAUUAAACAACAUUCUUUAUGUUCCUUAUUUGAGUACUUCCUUGAUGUUUGUUCAUAAAUUUACAUUAGAAAAUAAUUGAUAUUUGAUUUUUAAUGCUUCUCGUAUUUUUUGUGAAGGAUUGUAUAUAACUCACAGACUUCUGCUUCAAGGAACUCAUAACGGCUCCC